GGCGCUAUCGUCUAGCCCGGCUCAGGACGCUUGGUUCUCAGCCAAGAAACCCGGGUUCAAAUCCCGGUAGCGCUG
rnacentral:tRNA from 1 species